CAGCCGCCGCGGGAAUACGUAGGGUGCAAGCGUUAAUCGGAAUUACUGGGCGUAAAGCGUGCGCAGGCGGUUUGUUAAGACAGAUGUGAAAUCCCCGGGCUCGACCUGGGAACCGCAUUUGUGACUGGCAAGCUAGAGUGUGGCAGAGGGGGGUGGAAUUCCGCGUGUAGCAGUGAAAUGCGUAGAUAUGCGGAGGAACACCGAUGGCGAAGGCAGCCCCCUGGGCCAACACUGACGCUCAUGCACGAAAGCGUGGGGAGCAAACAGGAUUAGAUACCCGGGUAGUCCCUGUCUCUUAUAA
rnacentral:rRNA from 1 species